rnacentral:rRNA from 1 species
CCCCCCCUUAAAAGCGGCGGACUGGUGAGUACGCGUGGGUGACCUACCUUGAGGAUGGGGAUAGCUGUUAGAAAUAGCAGGUAAUACCGAAUAUGGUUGAAGGGCUAUGAGCUCUUCAAAGAAAGUGGGCUCCGUGCCCCGCCUUAUGAUGUGGCCCGCGUUCCCAUUAGCUAGUUGGUGAGGUAAAAUGCCGCACCAAGGGCUCUGAUGGUGUAGCCGGCCUGAGAAAGGUGAACGGCACAUUGUUGACUGAGAUACUGGGCCAAACUCCUACGUGGAGGCAGCAGCUAAGAAUAUUCCGCAAUGGACGACAGUCUAACGGAGCGACGCCGCGUGGAAUCGAUGUGAAGGCCGAACAGGUUGUACAAAUCCUUAUUAUUGCUGCAGAACUAAGCGCGGCUACGGGAAUUGACCGCGUGAUGACGUAUAGGGCAAUGAAUAAACA